rnacentral:rRNA from 1 species
GAAUUGUUCGCAAUGGGCGCAAGCCUGACGACGCAACGCCGCGUGGAGGAUGAAGGUCUUCGGAUCGUAAACUCCUGUUGCCCGGGACGAAACGCUCCGACCUAACACGUCGGCGCCUGACGGUACCCGGCGGGGAAGCCCCGGCUAACUCUGCGCCAGCAGCCGCGGUAAUACAGAGGGGGCAAGCGUUGUUCGGAAUUACUGGGGGUAACGGGCGCGUAGGCGGCCUGUUAAGUCGGACGUGAAAUCCCCGGGCUCAACCCGGGAACUGCGUCCGAGACUGGCAGGCUUGAAUCCGGGAGAGGGAUGUGGAAUUCCAGGUGUAGCGGUGAAAUGCGUAGAUAUCUGGAGGAACACCGGUGGCGAAGGCGGCAUCCUGGACCGGCAUUGACGCUGAGGCGCGAAAGCCAGGGGAGCAAACGGG